rnacentral:rRNA from 1 species
AACGAACGCUGGCGGCAGGCCUAACACAUGCAAGUCGAGCGAAGCCUUCGGGCUUAGCGGCGGACGGGUGAGUAACGCGUGGGAACGUGCCCUUUGGUACGGAAUAGCCCCGGGAAACUGGGAGUAAUACCGUAUGUGGUCGAGAGACGAAAGAUUUAUCGCCAAAGGAUCGGCCCGCGUUGGAUUAGGUAGUUGGUGGGGUAAUGGCCUACCAAGCCGACGAUCCAUAGCUGGUGUGAGAGGAUGAUCAGCCACACUGGGACUGAGACACGGCCCAGACUCCUACGGGAGGCAGCAGUGGGGAAUCUUAGACAAUGGGGGGAAACCCUGAUCUAGCCAUGCCGCGUGAUCGAUGAAGGCCUUAGGGUUGUAAAGAUCUUUCAGUGGGGAAGAUAAUGACUGUACCCACAGAAGAAGCCCCGGCUAACUCCGUGCCAGCCGCCGCCGUAAGAC